AAUUUGAAAGCUGGCCUUUGGUCCGCAUUGUAAUUUGUAGAGGAUGCUUUUAGGCAGCUGCCGGUCUAAGUUCCUUGGAACAGGACGUCAUAGAGGGUGAGAAUCCCGUAUGUGACCGGCUCAGGCACCUUCUGUAAAGCUCCUUCGACGAGUCGAGUUGUUUGGGAAUGCAGCUCUAAAUGGGAGGUAAAUUUCUUCUAAAGCUAAAUACUGGCGAGAGACCGAUAGCGCACAAGUAGAGUGAUCGAAAGAUGAAAAGUACUUUGGAAAGAGAGUUAAAAAGCACGUGAAAUUGUUGAAAGGGAAGCGCUUGCAAUCAGACUUGGCCUCGGUUGUUCAACCGGUCUUUUGACCGGCCUAUUCAAUCGGGGGCAGGCCAGCAUCAGUUUCGGCGGCCGGAUAAAGGCCUUGGGAAUGUGGCCUCUCCUUCGGGGGAGGUGUUAUAGCCCAGGGUGUAAUACGGUCAGCUGGGACUGAGGUCCGCGCUUCGGCUAGGAUGCUGGCGUAAUGGUUGUAAGCGGCCCGUCUUGAAACACGGACCAAGGAGUCUAACAUCUAUGCGAGUGUUAGGGUGUCAAACCCUUACGCGUAAUGAAAGUGAACGGAGGUGGGAACCCGCACGGGUGCACCAUCGACCGAUCCUGAUGUCUUCGGAUGGAUUUGAGUAAGAGCAUAGCUGUUGGGACCCGAAAGAUGGUGAACUAUGCCUGAAUAGGGUGAAGCCAGAGGAAACUCUGGUGGAGGCUCGCAGCGGUUCUGACGUGCAAAUCGAUCGUCAAAUUUGGGUAUAGGGGCGAAAGACUAAUCGAACCAUCUAGUAGCUGGUUCCUGCCGA
rnacentral:rRNA from 1 species